rnacentral:rRNA from 1 species
ACGCUCGACACCUACGGGAGGCGCAGUGGGGAAUAUUGCACAAUGGGGGAAACCCUGAUGCAGCGACGCCGCGUGGAGGAAGAAGGUCUUCGGAUUGUAAACUCCUGUUGUUGGGGAAAAAGAGGAUGGUACCCAACAAGGAAGUGACGGCUAACUACGUGCCAACAGCCGCGGUAAUCUGAGCGGGCUGGCAAGGC